UACGGGGGGAGCAAGCGUUGUUCGGAUUUACUGGGCGUAAAGGGCGCGUAGGCGGUCAGCACAAGUCAGUUGUGAAAUCUCCGGGCUUAACUCGGAAAGGUCAACUGAUACUGUGCGACUAGAGUGCAGAAGGGGCAACUGGAAUUCUCGGUGUAGCGGUGAAAUGCGUAGAUAUCGAGAGGAACACCUGCGGCGAAGGCGGGUUGCUGGGCUGACACUGACGCUGAUGACGCGAAAGCCAGGGGAGCGAACGGG
rnacentral:rRNA from 1 species